rnacentral:rRNA from 1 species
GGCCUACCAUGGUNNNAACNGGUAACGGGGUGUUAGGGCACGACACCGGAGAGGGAGCCUGAGAAACGGCUACCACAUCCAAGGAAGGCAGCAGGCGCGCAAAUUACCCAAUCCCGACACGGGGAGGUAGUGACAAUAAAUAACAAUACAGGGUUCUUUUGGAUCUUGUAAUUGGAAUGAGUACAAUUUAAAUCUCUUAACGAGGAACAAUUGGAGGGCAAGUCUGGUGCCAGCAGCCGCGGUAAUUCCAGCUCCAAUAGCGUAUAUUAAAGUUGUUGCAGUUAAAAAGCUCGUAGUUGAAUUUCGGGAUCAAUAUUUCGGUCAUGCCGUUGGUAUGCACUGUUAUCAUUGAUUUCUCACCUUCUAAAGAACCGUAAUGCCAUUAAUUUGGUGUUACGGGGAAUUAGGACUGUUACCUUGAAAAAAUUAGAGUGUUUAAAGCAGGCUCACGCUUGAAUACAUUAGCAUGGAAUAAUGAAAUAGGACAUCCGAUUCUAUUUUGUUGGUUUCUAGGAUCGAUGUAAUGAUUAAUAGGGAUAGUUGGGGGCAUUAGUAUUCAAUUGUCAGAGGUGAAAUUCUUGGAUUUAUUGAAGACUAACUACUGCGAAAGCACUUGCCAAGGAUGUUUUCAUUAAUCAAGAACGAAAGUUAGGGGAUCGAAGACGAUCAGAUACCGUCGUAGUCUUAACCAUAAACUAUGCCGACUAGGGAUCGGAUGAUGUUAAUUUUUUAAUGACUCAUUCGGCGCCUUACGGGAAACCAAAGUGUUUGGGUUC